rnacentral:tRNA from 1 species
GCGGAAUAGCUCAGUUGGUGAGCGCAACCUUGCCAAGGUUGAGGUCGCGAGUUCGAGCCUCGUUUCCCGCU